rnacentral:rRNA from 1 species
GGACCCGCACAAGCGGUGGAUGAUGUGGUUUAAUUCGAUGCAACGCGAAAAACCUUACCCACCUUUGACAUGUACGGAAUCCUGCAGAGAUAGCGGGAGUGCUCGAAAGAGAGCCGUAACACAGGUGCUGCAUGGCUGUCGUCAGCUCGUGUCGUGAGAUGUUGGGUUAAGUCCCGCAACGAGCGCAACCCUUGCCAUUAGUUGCUACGAAAGGGCACUCUAAUGGGACUGCCGGUGACAAACCGGAGGAAGGUGGGGAUGACGUCAAGUCCUCAUGGCCCUUAUAGGUGGGGCUACACACGUCAUACAAUGGCUGGUACAAAGGGUUGCCAACCCGCGAGGGGGAGCCAAUCCCACAAAGCCAGUCGUAGUCCGGAUCGCAGUCUGCAACUCGACUGCGUGAAGUCGGAAUCGCUAGUAAUCGUGGAUCAGAAUGUCACGGUGAAUACGUUCCCGGGUCUUGUACACACCGCCCGUCACACCAUGGGAGCGGGUUCUGCCAGAAGUAGGUAGCCUAACCGCAAGGAGGGCGCUUACCACGGCAGGGUUCGUGACUGGGGUGAAGUCGUAACAAGGUAGCCGUAUCGGAAGGUGCGGCU